rnacentral:lncRNA from 1 species
GGAUUGCCUCAGGGAAGAGGCCAGUUCCUGAAAAAGCCAUCUCGAUUGGUAUCAUUCAAAUGCGAAUAUAGGCCUGAUUGAAGCAUAAAAGUGAAAUAAUAAUAAUGAGAGGCUUUUGUCCGUUGACGGUCAUCUUACCUGUCUCCUACGCUACGCUCUCAACUGGAUCAAUCGCUUUGUCCUGAUUUAUUGAACAGGUGCCCUGUGGAACAUGUUUUAUGGAUGACGACAUAGGACACAGAAAGUUCCUUCUCUCUCUUUUGAAUCUCCGGGAUUGCCUCAGGGAAGAGGCCAGUUCCUGAAAAAGCCAUCUCGAUUGGUAUCAUUCAAAUGCGAAUAUAGGCCUGAUUGAAGCAUAAAAGUGAAAUAAUAAUAAUGAGAGGCUUUUGUCUGUUGACGGUCAUCUUACCUGUCUCCUACACUACGCUCUCAACUGGAUCAAUCGCUUUAUUGAAUAGGUGCCCUGUGGAACAUGUUUUAUGGAAUUUAACUCUUUAUGUAAUAUUUCUUUUCAUACUGAUUGAAUUCAGGCUGAGAGAGGAAUAUUUGAUCAAAACCCUUAGUCCGCUAGGGGGAUAGUAUACAUUCAAUCCGGAUAAGACACU